GCCGACAGCUAGCUCAUUGUAACUCUCCUGUGGUCGCCAUCUGAAGCUAAGCAAGGCUGUGCAUGGUCAGUACCUGAAUAGGAUACUACAUGGGAAAGCUUGGUUGUUGCCGGAA
rnacentral:rRNA from 1 species